GAUGAACGCUAGCGGCAGGCUUAACACAUGCAAGUCGAGGGGCAGCGCGGGAUAGCAAUAUCCUGGCGGCGACCGGCGGAAGGGUGCGUAACGCGUGAGCGACAUGCCCGUUGCCCGGGGACAACCGGUGGAAACGCCGACUAAUCCCCGAUGGGAUACGAUGCUUCAUGGCAUUGUAUUGAAAGUUACGGCGGCGACGGAUUGGCUCGCGUCCGAUUAGCUUGUUGGCGGGGUAACGGCCCACCAAGGCUACGAUCGGUAGGGGUUCUGAGAGGAAGGCCCCCCACAAUGGGACUGAGACACGGCCCAUACUCCUACGGGAGGCAGCAGUGAGGAAUAUUGGUCAAUGGGCGGAAGCCUGAACCAGCCAUGCCGCGUGCGGGAAGGAGGCCCUAUGGGCUGUGAACCGCUUUUGCCUGGGGGCAAUAAGGGCGUCGCGCACGUCCGAUGAGAGUACC
rnacentral:rRNA from 1 species